GCCCGGGUGGCGGAACAGGUAGACGCUGCGGACUUAAAAUCCGCUGGCCUUACGGCCAUGCCGGUUCGAUUCCGGCCCCGGGCACCA
rnacentral:tRNA from 3 species